AUUGAACGCUGGCGGCAGGCCUAACACAUGCAAGUCGAACGAGUGGCGGACGGGUGAGUAAUGUCUGGGAAACUGCCUGAUGGAGGGGGAUAACUACUGGAAACGGUAGCUAAUACCGCAUACCAUCGGAUGUGCCCAGAUGGGAUUAGCUAGUAGGUGGGGUAAAGGCUCACCUAGGCGACGAUCCCUAGCUGGUCUGAGAGGAUGACAAGCCAAGCGGGAACUGAGACACGGGCAAGACUCCUACGGGAGGCAGCAGUGGGGAAUAUUGCACAAUGGGCGAAAGCUUGAGACAGCCAUGCCGCGUGGAGGAAGAAGGCCUGCGGGUUGGAAAGUAUUUUCAGCGGGGAGGCGUUACCCGAAGAAGAAGCACCGGAUAACCCCGUGCCAGCAGCCGCGGUAAUUC
rnacentral:rRNA from 1 species